AUUAAGGGUAAUAAAACCGCUUCCAAAAUACUAAAAUGCAUAAAGGGGAUGACUCAAAUGGGGAUUAUCAUUUGCCAAUCAUGUAACAAGACGAUCGAUGUGUUUGAAGGUGAAAAAGUCACAAAGCUUUAUGCAAAGGGAAAUGGUUGUACGCAUUGUAAACCGGCCGAACAAAAAAAAUGAUGAUAAAAAGAAGAAGGGCAUCCAUUUUCGGAAGUCCUUCUUCUUU
rnacentral:sRNA from 1 species